ensembl:lncRNA
CAGGACGUGGACGCCAACGCGAAGGCGAGGGAAGACUAAGGGCGAGUCCCUUCCCCGGGCGGCAGGCAGCGGAGGGUAGGAGGAAGAACGUGAAAGUUACCAGAAACGUUAUUUAGCAGCGGAUUCCCUGCGUCCUUGUCAAUUUCAGAGACAAAACAAGCAGCCCGGGCUAGUCCAGGUGGAGGCUCAGCCGCUGCGGCAGCGCGGCCCCAGAGGCGGCCCCGGCGGCGGCUCCUACGCAGCCUGCGCCCGCCUCGAGCCGCGGGAGCAGCGGCGAGAGAACCGGGUGAUCGCGCUGCGGGGGGGAAACGCUGGAGCGAGGCGAAAGCGUGUAACAAUUGCACACGCACUCGCCGCCCGCCCGCUCGCACAGCGCUGGAACACGCGGGCCCAGACACGCACACCCGCAGAGGCACGGGGGGGGGGGAGAAGCCGAUGAAUAAUUUUGCUGCUAUUUUUUAAAAUACUGGCCGCCAUCAAGCAGCGAGCAGCAGCGGCUGGAAGGGAGAGCAGGCCUGGGGCAGGCGCCUCUUAGGAGAGGAUCUAUAUCUAGUUGGAAAAAAAAAGAAAGAAAAGAAAAAGAAGAAAAAAAUUGUCAAGCCCCUGAACUGGAGGUUACAAGAGGCCCGUCAGCAGCCCACAUGCAGCCCAACUAUCGCGUUUCAUGGCUUUUUGCCACUCCAGAUGUCAAUCAGAGCCCGGAAUGUCAAGGUAGUAAAUGAGUGAUGCUUGACGAUGAUGAAAAGGAGGACUCUCUCAGACCCGUUUUUUUUCUUCCAGUAAAACUCCAAGAGGGGUUUCAGCUUCCUGAAUUUUUUCCUCCCCCCUCCCCCCUUUUAGCUUGGCCCCCGCGAUAUCGCUAAUAGGAUACUCUCAAGUAUUGUUCAAAAAAAAAGCGGGGAGAAAAAUCAAGAAAAAACCGAAUAGUUUGCAGAAAUUGGACCCCCCCCCCCUUGAAGAACUCCAAGAUUAAAAAUGUCCUUCUCGUUUGAUGCCGAGUUGCUGGUCGACAUGUUUUUUAAAGGAUCCCCUCAAGUCUGAUAGGAAAGACAGGACUACUUCUGGACUAGCUUGCUACUUCAAGAAAUUCGUCAGCCUUCUACAGAUACUUCCAGUUCUGCGGGUCUAAAUACAAGCCUCCAACUCCUUCCAAAGGCUCCUAAAGUAAAAGUUGGCUUUUCUAGAUACAAGGUCUGUGCGAAGAGGGAUCUCUGACGCUGGGUCACUACUGGGUAAGUGAAAUUCUUUCCUCUUUUUCCACCCUAGCCCCUAGCCCCCCACUGCCAAGACGUGAGCUGCUGGCUAUUAUCAAACAAUUUUAAAAGCCCUGCUUAGCUAGGAUUUAGUGUCAGUAAAGUCACUUUUCUUGGAAAAAGCUGUCCUGUGUGCAAGUUUUUUGUUGUUGUUGUUGUCUGAGAUUUCUUUGAGGACUCAAUCUCUCCGAACUGUACUGAGCAGCUAGUUACAGCUGAGCCCCAAACUGAACUUUCUCUCCUGAGGCUGUUCUCAUGGGCCUGCCUUGCCUAUGGUGAUAAUCCUUGGAAAGGUAACUUAAAUCACAGUGCCUCAUUACUUGUGGGCAGAUAGUCUACUAACAUUUCAAAGUUUUUUCAAACAAUCAAAUGGAGAUGUGACUCUUACAUCUUUUAUCCCCUCAUCUGGUGUAAAAAAUAAACAGAAAAUGUGUAUGAGUUCAAGGUGAGUCACUGUUCAUCCUCAAAGGUCUCUUAAAUCCCGAGGAAGCCAUCACUCCCAAGCCUGAAACAGGUAGGUUCCCUUUUGCCUUGGACCUGAAGAUGC